UACAGAGGCCUCGAGCGUUAGGCGGAAUCACUGGGCUUAAAGCGUGUGUAGGCGGACUUCUAAGUACCUUGUGAAAUCCCACGGCUUACCCGUGGAACUGCUCGGUAUACUGGUUGUCUUGAGCCACCUAGGGGCGAGUGGAACAAAUGGUGGAGCGGUGAAAUGACGUAGAUAUCAUUUGGAACGCCAAUGGUGAAAACAACUCGCUGGGGGUGUGCUGACGCCUGAGACACGGAAAGCCAGGGGAGCGAACGGG
rnacentral:rRNA from 1 species